rnacentral:rRNA from 1 species
GAUGAACGCUGGCGGCGUGCCUAAUACAUGCAAGUCGAGCGAACAGACGAGGAGCUUGCUCCUCUGACGUUAGCGGCGGACGGGUGAGUAACACGUGGAUAACCUACCUAUAAGACUGGGAUAACUUCGGGAAACCGGAGCUAAUACCGGAUAAUAUAUUGAACCGCAUGGUUCAAUAGUUAAAGACGGUUUUGCUGUCACUUAUAGAUGGAUCCGCGCCGCAUUAGCUAGUUGGUAAGGUAACGGCUUACCAAGGCAACGAUGCGUAGCCGAACUGAGAGGGUGAUCGGCCACACUGGAACUGAGACACGGUCCAGACUCCUACGGGAGGCAGCAGUAGGGAAUCUUCCGCAAUGGGCGAAAGCCUGACGGAGCAACGCCGCGUGAGUGAUGAAGGUCUUCGGAUCGUAAAACUCUGUUAUUAGGGAAGAGCAAAUGUGUAAGUAACUAUGCACGUCUUGACGGUACCUAAUCAGAAAGCCACGGCUAACUACGUG